GAUGAAGAACGUAGCGAAAUGCGAUAAGUAAUGUGAAUUGCAGAAUUCAGUGAAUCAUCGAAUCUUUGAACGCACCUUGCACCCUCUGGUAUUCCGAAGGGUAUGCUCGUUUGAGUGUCAUUGUACUCUCACACUUCUAAUUCCUUUCGGGAUUGGGAGCGGUGGACUUGGGUGUUGCUGCUUUAGUUGUGGCUCACCUCAAGUAAGUUAGUGCAACUCUUGGUUGGACAUAGUACGGCGUGAUAAGUGUCUUCGCCGGCGCCUCUGUAAGGAGGGUGGCCGAUCGGGAGCUCUGUGCUUCAAACCGUCUUCGGACAAUCUUUGACAACUUGACCUCAAAUCGAGUAGGACUACCCGCUGAACUUAAGCAUAUCAAUAAGCGGAGGA
rnacentral:misc_RNA from 1 species